rnacentral:rRNA from 1 species
AUUGAACGCUGGCGGCAAGCCUAACACAUGCAAGUCGAACGAGUGGCGGACGGGUGAGUAAUGUCUGGGAAACUGCCUGAUGGAGGGGGAUAACUACUGGAAACGGUAGCUAAUACCGCAUACUAUCGGAUGUGCCCAGAUGUGAGUAGCUAGUAGGUGGGGUAAAGGCUCACCUGGGCGACGAUCCCUCGCUGGUCCGAGAGGAUGAUCAGUCACACUGGAACGGAGACACGGUCCAGACUCCUACGGGAGGCAGCAGUGGGGAAUAUUGGACAAUGGGCGAAAGCCUGAUCCAGCCAUGCCGCGUGUGUGAAGAAGGUCUUCGGAUUGUAAAGCACUUUAAGUUGGGAGGCGUUACCAACAGAAUAAGCACCGGCUAACUUCGUGCCAGCAGCCGCGGUAAUAC